GAUGAACGCUGGCGGCGUGCUUAACACAUGCAAGUCGAACGGAAAGGCCCAAGCUUGCUUGGGUACUCGAGUGGCGAACGGGUGAGUAACACGUGGGUGAUCUGCCCUGCACUUCGGGAUAAGCCUGGGAAACUGGGUCUAAUACCGGAUAGGACCACAUUUUGGAUGGUGUGGUGGAAAGUUUUUCGGUGUGGGAUGAGCUCGCGGCCUAUCAGCUUGUUGGUGGGGUAAUGGCCUACCAAGGCGUCGACGGGUAGCCGGCCUGAGAGGGUGUACGGCCACAUUGGGACUGAGAUACGGCCCAGACUCCUACGGGAGGCAGCAGUGGGGAAUAUUGCACAAUGGGCGCAAGCCUGAUGCAGCGACGCCGCGUGGGGGAUGACGGCCUUCGGGUUGCAAACUCCUUUCGCUAGGGACGAAGCGUUUUUGUGACGGUACCUGGAGAAGAAGCACCGGCUAACUACGUG
rnacentral:rRNA from 1 species